rnacentral:rRNA from 1 species
UUGACGGUACCCUACUAGAAAGGAGCCGCUAACUUCGUGCCAGAAGCGUCGGUAAUACGGGGGCUCCAAGCGUUAUCCGGUGUUAUUGGGCGUAAAGAGUCGUGUAGGUGGUUGGGUAAGUUAUCUUUCAAAUAUCUUUGCUUAACAAAGAGGAGGGGGAUAAUACUGCUCGACUAGAAUUUUCUCAAGGGAGAUCGGAACUGAGGGAGGAGUAGUGAAAUGCGUUGAUACCCUCGGGAACACCAGUGGCGUAGGCGGAUCUCUGGGAGAAGAUUGACACUGAGACACGAAAGCUAGGGGAGCGAAGCAGAUUAGAGACCUGCGUAGGUCCUAGCCGUAAACGCAUGCUUGCUAGCUGCAUGAAUCUACCUUCGGGUGGUAUCGUGUGGCGAAGGUAACCCGUUAAGCAAGCCGCCUGGAAAGUACGGCCGCAAGGCUGAAAUUCAAAGGAAUUGGCGGGGAGGCACACGACCAGUGGAACAUGUGGUUUAAUUCGAGACUAACCGAAGAACCUCACCAGGGUUUGACAUGUAGCUGCACGUCUUAAGAAAUUAAGACUCUCUUGAAGGUGCUACACAGGUGCUGCAUGGCUGUCGUCAGCUCGUUCCGUGAGGAGUGCCCUUAAGUGGGACAACGAGCGCAACCCCUAUUACAUGUUAGAAAUGUCAUGUAAGACUGCCUUGCCAUUUGGCGGGGAGGAAGGAGGGGCAGACGUCAAGUCCGCAUGGUCCUUAUGCCCUGGGCUACACACAUGUUACAAUGAGUACGGCAAUGAGUCUGUCGCGAGCACGUAAGUGUAAGCUAAUCUCUUAAAUGUACUCUCAGUGGGGAUUGAGGUCUGCAACUCGACCUCAUGAACACGGAAUUGGUAGUA